UUGGGCCAAGCCUUGUGAGCCUCACUGGUUUCUGAGACCACACAGAACCAACUCUGCAUCCUGCCAAGAUACAGAUACUUCCCGAGAUGGGAAGUGCCUGUUGGGAAGUGAGAAAAGACACACAAUGUCCCAGACUGGGUUGUCCAGUGUUGCCUGCUGGGAAGCAGAGAACGUGGGUUCAAAUUUGGCCUGACUCUAGUUCUGUGCGUUGCUCCAUUUGCCCUGAAUUCAGAGGCUGGGGAAGACCAUCUUUGCUGGCCUGAUGGGUCCCAGGACCCUCAAAGGAGCCCACUGAGGCCACCUUCUCCAUCCUCACACCUGCCCUGCUGCCUCUACCCACCCUCCCAGCCUCCGCUCUGCGCUGCUGUCUCCUGCCCCUCGGGGUGGUCACGUCCUAACACCUGCUAUGCCAGGCACUGCUCUCCAUCUGCCUGUGCUCAGAGGUCCAGCCCCUCUGCUGUGAGGCUCCACCCAAGCUGCCCAAGCCACCUGCACACAGACAGUGGCAUUUGUGCAACCACUGUAAAUUGUCGCCCACCGUACACCUGUCCUCUGUGCACAAAGUUCAAGAUCAGCACGGGUCCCCCAUCCCUCCCUGGCAGCCUUCCCGUCUCUAUCAAGGAGGGCCACCAGAGCCAGCAGAGAUGCAGGGAGGCGAUCAGACAACAAUUCAACAAAGCGCUGCUGUGUGCUGUGCCUUAGGUGGCUCCUUCUAUCCACCAUGGGAGGCAGGUACGGCCAUCAGUGUCCCUUCACUUGAGUUCCUGUGAACCGGACCGACUGUUCAAGGGCUCCCACCAAGUGCAAGGUGAGCCAGCUGCGUGUUGCCAGCACCUGCGGGGCAGGGGGUGGAGGGGGAAGUGGGGGCGGUGGGCUAAUGUCUGCAGGUCACGGGCUUCUGCAGGAUCUGCACACCCCCGUGUCCCCAGAGCCACCCACAGGCCACCCAGGAUGAGAUGGGAGCAAGAGGCUGGGGUGGGGGUAAAGGUACAUUCGGGUCCUUCCAGAUGCUCACAGGGACUCAGCUUUCCAUGGGUAUUUCCACUGCCGUCCCUUAUGGUUCCAUAUGCUUCUGAAAUGUGGGGGCUGCAGGAGGAAGGGUAAGCCCCCCACGCGUGGCCUGCCCAGUGCGGUUUGGGUUCCCAAAGAGGGCUUGGCUUCCCCUCUCGCCGCAUCGGGAUGCCGACUGCUUAGAGCGUGAGCACCAUCCCUGGGCAAGAGCAGACCAAGGCUGUGCUGCAGAUGGCAUGACCAGCGCCAUGGGGACAGAGACAGGGGGAGGCUGAGAUCACAGGGGGGCUGGGGAGUGCAGGGGAUGCUACCAGGUCUGAUUCUCCAUGGGACAGAGUCACGGGUACAGUAGAGUAUGGCUGGGGACUGCGAGACAGGACUCUCUAGUGGGGAUACAGUGCCUAGCUUAGAGCUGUUCCCAGGGCUCCCCUCCCCUCCCCACCUCAGGUCUCUCCCCCAUCUCUCCCCCCACCCCUGCCUUACCCAGUCCAGGCGCUGCUCCCCACGCUCUGUCUGUCGCUGCCACUGUCUGACGCGCCUUUGAAAUCUUAUCUCUCAUCUUGUUCUCUGUUUCCUCCCUGUCCAGGCCUCAUCUGUCUCCUGCCUCCCACCCACCCCCCACCUGCUUCCCAUCUGUGGCCCCUCCCCCCUCCCUGCCCGCUGGCCACUGUCUCUGUCCUGGCCUGUCCUGUCAGCCUGGCUCCAGCUCCAGCCCUUCCCUAUGUCUCCAGGGGAGAUCUCAGGGUUGUGGGUGAGACCCUGCCUGUGCCUGCUGCCUUCUGCAUGUCCCUCGCCCCUGACCCCAGCCCCUUUCCUUAGGCUUCCUUCCCUCCACUGGCCCUGACUCAGCCCUCAACCUCUCAGGCUCUGUGGUCAGCUGCCGGAGCUCCCGGAGGGCUGGAUCCCAGGGCCCCUCUGCAGGCCUUCUGACCUUUUCAGCAAAGGCCACUCCUCCCUCCUUGAACUUGCCCAGCCCAGCCUUUGCCUGUAUCACAUGAGUCACAGAUGCCUGGGGUUCUGUCUCCAAUCUCUGGCCUCCUCUGGGGCAGGGACAACUCCCCCUGUAUUCUUUACAGAUGGGGAAACUGAGGAUUGGUGAGCAGGGGCACUAUCCCUGGUUCUUCCUAGGUCUGACUCCAUUGCAACCUUUAGGCCUCAGUGUGUGGGCCGCCCCUCAGGGAGGUCGUCCUGACUGCUUGCCAGAAGACGGCUUCCCACUACCGGUGCCCACAUACUGUCCACCCCAGAACCCUGGUUUCUUUUCUUUUGAGGCACCACCUUCCACUUUACAGGGAAAACAGGGGAUGUCCUCACCCUCCCAGGGACCAAGGGCACCUGACAUUGGGCCAACCUCGGUGUCCACAAUGCCUUGGGGGCCCCGACAGAGGCCUCCAGCUUCCUGCCCCUGUUUUGGGGGACCAGCUGCCUCCAGAAACUUCUGUUCUGUGGAAUCAAACCCGGAGUGUAGAGCCACACAGCUGCUUGCAUUCAGGUCCCAGCCCUACUGCUUAGCAGCUGAGUGCAGGCAGGCAAGUAAGUCCUCCUCUUCGGGCUGCGCAGUGCCUGCACCUGUAAAAUGCCGAAGAGGGUGAUGAGGGUGCCUGUCUUUGUGUGUUCUAAGAAUUACAUGAGUUAAUGUAUACAAGACAUCAUGCAGCAGGACCCAGCACAUAGUAAGUGAAUAGCCUCCUUGCUUCCAAGUGCCACAACAGCAGCAAAAAUGUAGCAGCAGAUCAUGUCCUUGAACUUGAAGAUAACGGUGCCGGGAUGUCAGUGGUGCCUUCGCCAUGACCCCAUCCCUCCUGAGUGCUUUACAGUCUCAGUCUCUUUGAGGGUCCUCUCAAUAGCCACUUGGAUGUGGGCUCUUGCUCCCAUCUUCCGACGAGCAACCUGGACACGGAGGGCAGAGACCCACCAGGUCACACCUCAAGAAGUCAAGAGGAGCACCUGCAGCCCCAUCGUGCUCUGCUAGGGAUGCUCAGGCCUCUGCGACCACGUGUACGUCAAACGCGGCUUCUGGGGA